AUUGAACGCUGGCGGCAGGCCUAACACAUGCAAGUCGAACGGUAACAGGAAGCAGCUUGCUGCUUUGCUGACGAGUGGCGGACGGGUGAGUAAUGUCUGGGAAACUGCCUGAUGGAGGGGGAUAACUACUGGAAACGGUAGCUAAUACCGCAUAACGUCGCAAGACCAAAGAGGGGGACCUUCGGGCCUCUUGCCAUCGGAUGUGCCCAGAUGGGAUUAGCUAGUAGGUGGGGUAAAGGCUCACCUAGGCGACGAUCCCUAGCUGGUCUGAGAGGAUGACCAGCCACACUGGAACUGAGACACGGUCCAGACUCCUACGGGAGGCAGCAGUGGGGAAUAUUGCACAAUGGGCGCAAGCCUGAUGCAGCCAUGCCGCGUGUAUGAAGAAGGCCUUCGGGUUGUAAAGUACUUUCAGCGGGGAGGAAGGGAGGAAAGUUAAUACCUUGGCUCAUUGACGUUACCCGCAGAAGAAGCACCGGCUAACUCCGUG
rnacentral:rRNA from 1 species